AACAUCCAGAUUCCUUACUUAUCAGAUCUAAACCCUGAUCUGAAUGGUUAUAAAAAGAGGAAAAGUAGAAUUGAAACUGACUUAAAUUUUUUGGUGGCAUGCGAGCUAGUUUCAAACAAAA
ensembl:snoRNA